GAAAAGUGAGAGAACAAAAGACACAAAAAAAAUCAUUUGAACUUCUGCAGUAAAAAUAUUUUCCAUCACAAUUUUAUCCCUCCAUUUUUUCCUUCCUUCUUCUUUCUUCUCUUUCAAAUUUUGU
rnacentral:ribozyme from 12 species